UACGGGGGGGGCAAGCGUUGUUCGGAAUUACUGGGCGUAAAGGGCUCGUAGGCGGCCAACUAAGUCGGACGUGAAAUCCCUCAGCUUAACUGGGGAACUGCGUCCGAUACUGGAUGGCUUGAGUUUGGGAGGGGGAUGCGGAAUUCCAGGUGUAGCGGUGAAAUGCGUAGAUAUCUGGAGGAACACCGGUGGCGAAGGCGGCAUCCUGGACCAAUAUUGACGCUGAGGAGCGAAAGCUAGGGGAGCAAACGGG
rnacentral:rRNA from 1 species